UAGGGAAUCUUCGGCAAUGGGGGCAACCCUGACCGAGCAACGCCGCGUGAGUGAAGAAGGUUUUCGGAUCGUAAAGCUCUGUUGUAAGAGAAGAACGUGUGUGAGAGUAGAAAGUUCACACAGUGACGGUAACUUACCAGAAAGGGACGGCUAACUACGUGCCAGCAGCCGCGGUAAUACGUAGGUCCCGAGCGUUGUCCGGAUUUAUUGGGCGUAAAGCGAGCGCAGGCGGUUUAAUAAGUCUGAAGUUAAAGGCAGUGGCUUAACCAUUGUUCGCUUUGGAAACUGUUAAACUUGAGUGCAGAAGGGGAGAGUGGAAUUCCAUGUGUAGCGGUGAAAUGCGUAGAUAUAUGGAGGAACACCGGUGGCGAAAGCGGCUCUCUGGUCUGUAACUGACGCUGAGGCUCGAAAGCGUGGGGAGCAAACAGG
rnacentral:rRNA from 1 species